GAGAAAGAACAAUGUGUACAUGAUAUCUUCAAGAAAGUUACGGAGUUGGAAAUUCUCCUUGGUUGGGGAGUUUUUGUUCUUGUAUCUCUCCCUUCCUGAAGCUUGCCUCGGGACCAGAGAAGCUACCCAAGGUGGACAAAAACCAGUGCAGAUCACCUGGUACUCCAGCUAUUGUUGUAUUGGUUCUGUAUUUCUUCAUCUCUAGUACUUUCAAUGCUGUGACACUAAAGAGUGUGGCUCACUGGGGAAUUGAUGGAAAAGAUCUUUCCCUUAACCUUCAAUCUGACCCUCUGAGCCAUAUUCCCAGGAGGAAAUAGUGCAUCCAUAAAUCAAGACAUAUUAACCAGGCAGAAGCCAGAACUGACUGACCUUGCUGCUAGGGGACAGAAGCGAAUAUUCACUAAAUAUUCAUUGAACUUUGGAAAUGGAAGCAAACGAGAAAACUGUGAUGGAGAACUGGUACCUCUGAACCAUGUAGUCCAGCCCCCUAAUUUUUCAAAUAGAAAGUGAACAAGUAGGAGGUCAAAUGAUUUGUCCAAGGUCCCUUGGACAGUAAGCAACAGAGAUGGCAUUUGAACCCAUCUUCUUUUGCUCUAGAGAUCUAUUCUUUCUCUACAGGUCCACAGCCAAACCUUUCAUUUGGAAGACGAGGGACACAGGGCACAGUGGGUCAAAUGAGAUAAAAUAUAGAAAGCUCUACAAAUUUCACAGCAUGGUAUAAAUCUAGCUAGUAUUAUUACUUGUAAUCAAGGUCACUUACAAGUUAAUAGUGAAGAAAGGUCUAGAAUACAGUUCUCUUACCUCCCUAGUUCAUGUUUCUUUAUACUUCAAAUUCAUUCUGCUUGUGAGCUAUGGUAAAUCUAAAAUUUAGGCAAUAGAAAACACUAUAGUCCACAAAAAAAUGAACUUCCAGCAUAAGCCAUAGUAGCAAGCCAAAGUAAUUAAGAUUAUUGCCUUGUUUGCAACCCUUACAGCAUUUCUCCCUCACAUUUUCUUUUAAACAUUAAAAAUUCCUCUAAAUUGUUUUAGCAGGACAAAAAGAGAAAAUCCAUGUUUCCUGGCUAUAAAGCUAUAAAUAAUAUAUAAAUGAUUACCUUGGACCUGGAGACAAUUUGCCUCCUAUCAUUGGGUACAUCUCUCUUCUGAACUGGGAAAGUCUGAAGCAAACAGACCUGCUUACCUGUUUCUUUGUGCCAAGCCUGAAC
rnacentral:lncRNA from 1 species